UAACGCGUGGGCAACCUGCCUCAUACAGGGGGAUAGCAUCGGGAAACUGGUGGUAAAACCGCAUAAGCGCACGAAGACGCAUGUAUUCGUGUGAAAAGGAGAAAUCUGGUAUGAGAUGGACCCGCGUCUGAUUAGCUAGUUGGAGUGGUAAAAGCACACCAAGGCGACGAUCAGUAGCCGGCCUGAGAGGGUGGACGGCCACAUUGGGACUGAGACACGGCCCAGACUCCUACGGGAGGCAGCAG
rnacentral:rRNA from 1 species